AAGAAGUUUACAUACCCACAUAUCUAUCCGUUUCGCUUUAUCGACUACGAGUAUUGUGUCGAAGGUUUUUGGAACGUAGAGUAGUGUUCAAUACUACAAUCAAUCGACCUUUUCUCUCUUUAUCUGUACAAAAUCUGUUUAAUUGAAAAUGGCCAGAAAUUUGAGGAAAGCCCAUCAGGCAGCAAACUCUUCUCUGCAAUUAACCAAGCCCUUCACAUAACCUUGGAUUCUGAUCCUCGGUAUAUACAUACAUUUUGUUCAAUUACCCUUUUACGACUACUUUUUCUCUUUAAUUCAAUUCUGUAUAUAUAUGGUUGGGUUUUGCAUGUAUAUAUAUGUGUUUAUUUUAGCUAUCUAAUGUAUAAUUUGCUCUUGGCUUAGAUAGAUUGUAGAUUUUAGUUGGGAUUAUUGCUCUUAAACUGGUUAGCUGACUUUUUAUGACGUGUUUUGAUCUGAUUUCAAGAAUUAUUUAGGAGGAAAGAAGAAUGAAUUGAUAUCAUAUAUGUGAUCCAUUGGUGCCAAAUUAAUUUAUUUUUGUAUUGGUGAAGAAGGUCCCCGUUUUUCAUUUGACUCAGUUUCCUAUGUUUUUGAUAUGCCUACAAUCAGUAUCCCCUCCAUUACCCUAUAAUCUGUACAGAUACGUGUGUAUUCAUUUCUACUAUGUACUCUGUAAUUUCGCUUGGCUUCAACAAUUUCGGGACUUGAUUAUAACAGAUUAUACUUGGGAUUGUUGUUCUUUAAGGCUUCGUUUGAUAUAAGAUUUUGAGAGUGGGAUUGGACUAUUAGUCUGUUGUGGGGCUCACUUUAAUCAUGUUUUAGUACAAAAGUUAAACUCGGGACUAAUAGUCCAUUGGGGCUGUUAAUCCCAAAAAUGGAGAUUAGGAAUCCCAUGGGUGGUUGGUAUUACUAAUCCAAUCUCAUGGGACUAUUAAUCUAAGGAAAUUGGGAUUGGAUUGCUAAUCCCAUUAAAUUAGAAUAUGUUAUCAAACAUGGCAUAAAUGUCUAGCUGACUUCUUAUGACACAGUUAGAUCUGUUUCCAAUAAUUAUUUAAGGGAAAAAGACGAGUGAAUUGAUAUUAUCUGUGAAUCAUUGGUCCAAGUUAACUUAUGUUUCUCUUGGUGAAGGUCACUGCUUUUCGUUUGGACCAAUUGCUUAUUUUUUAAUUUCUAGUUUAUGAAUUUGAGGUGCCUAUAAUCAGUAAAAGAUUCUUAAAAGACCCCCUUUAGCUUGGCACAGUUGAUUGGUUCUCAACUCUCAUAGCUGCAGUGCCUUCUCCACUGCAAAGGGAUUUACAUAUAGGAAAUGAUUAGGAACUGACUUAAAACAUACAAUGCAUUAUGCAUAACCAAUUAGCUCUACCGUGCAAUACUUGUGAAAAGUUGUGUACUUUUCUCUACAUUCAUUUUAUGAAAGGAGAAUGACUAUGAAGCACAAAUACUUCAUUUUAGCUGUUGUAGCAGUGUAUGGCAUGUGUCGGACGUGCCGGAAUGCAUGUCAGACACGCCUCGUGGUGAAUCUUUAUUAACCUGUACUGGGCAUGACAUACGUAUCUCAGGACGCUUAGGACAAUACUUGUUGUAUAUUGCAUGUUCAUACUUCAGAGUUGAGUUCUAAAAUCAAACUACAUUAGUUUGGUGAUGAGGUCAGUGAGUUUGUUAGUUGCUUUUCUUUUCUUUUUUUGUAUUACCAUGUUUUUAGUUCUCUAGCUUAAGGUGUGUUGAAUGCAUGUCCCCUUAAAAAAUUGAAACUUCUAAAAGGGACUGAGAUUGUGAGAGGGAGGGAGUAUAUACUUUCUGCCUUAUCCCUGCCAUGUCUGUAUCCUUUUUUUUAUAUUUAAAUUGCGUGUCCUGAUGUCGGUGCUUACAUCAUGCCUGUACUUGGUAGUUGUUAUCCGUUGUCCUGUAGAUCUGUUUCAUUGAACCUUUGGGACUGCCUUGCUGACUUAUCCCCUCUUUUUUUUGAACUUCUGCAUCUUCCCUCAACCCUGACUCAUCAGUGCACAUUCAAUUAUGAUUAGCUACUUGUUUUCUUACCGAUGUUUGAACAGCUUUACAAUUAUAACUACCAUGCAUUAGUUCUUCUACGUGCAUGUGAACCAUGAUGCCUGUAUUAUUUAUAGUCAUGUGACAUGCAUGCGAACCAUGAUGCCUGUAUUAUUUAUAGUCAUGUGACAUGCAUCUAUCUUCUUUUCUUUGUGUUCAAUCUGCUUGCUUGCCACCUCUGUGACAUUGUUUUAUAUAUCGCAUUAGGGUUAUACCUGCAUCAAUGAAUCAAGUAUGCUUGUCUAAACAUCAUUAUGUCGAUGGGGGUUGGGUGAUGGGUGGAAGUGGAGAUUGGUUAUGAUAGUUUUACAUGGCAAAGAUAUGCAAAGCCAUUUGGCUCAACUUUUAAUCCCAAUUUUUGGCUGCUUUUAUGAAAAGAAGAUUGCUAUUCGCAACGGCCUGUUCAGCUUUUGUUAAAUAUUCUUUUUUGUGCCACAAAGCUGAAAAUGAAAAUUCUGAAUGAAGCCCAAUAAUGCCCAAACCAAUUAAGCAACAACCAAUUAAAAAAACAAUGCCAUAGACAAUUCAACAUUAAUAAACUAAGCAGGUUUUUACAUAGUUUGCUAGAUGCCUGAAAAAUCAGCCAAACCGUCUGUUUUUUAAUACUGAACCCAACAAUGCAGGGGGCUUAUUUGUACCAUGCGAACCCAUACAUUGUCAGCUGUACAGAAACUUACCUUUUCAAUAAUCUGUUCUUCAUAGUGCCUAGGUAUUUGGAGAAGAUGUGGGCUUUGGGGUAUUUAGAUAAACAACAGGU
rnacentral:lncRNA from 1 species